rnacentral:rRNA from 1 species
GAUGAACGCUGGCGGCGUGCCUAAUACAUGCAAGUCGAGCGGAAAGGUGAGGAGCUUGCGCCUCUGACGUUAGCGGCGGACGGGUGAGUCACACGUGGAUCACCUACCUAUCAGACUGGGAUAACUUCGGAAAACCGGAGAUAAUACCGGAUGAUAUAUUGAAGCGCGGGGUUCAAUAGUGAAAGACGGCUUUGGUGUAUCUUCUCGCUGGAUCCGCGCCGCAUUGGCUGGUUGGUAAGGUCAAGGGCUACCAAGGGGAGGAUGCGUAGCCGAAUGGAGGGGGUGAUCGCCCACCUUGGAACUGAGACACGGUCCAGACUCCUACGGGAGGCAGCAGUAGGGAAUCGUCCGCAAUGGGCGAAAACCUGACGGAGCGACGCCGCGUGAGUGAUGAAGGUCUUCGGAGCGUAAAACUCUGUUAUUAGGGAAGAACAAAUGUGGAAGUAACUAUGCACGUCUUGACGGUACCUAAUCAGAAAGCCACGGCUAACUACGUG